rnacentral:rRNA from 1 species
AACGAACGCUGGCGGCAGGCCUAACACAUGCAAGUCGAGCGAGGACUUCGGUCCUAGCGGCGGACGGGUGAGUAACGCGUGGGAACGUGCCCUUUGCUUCGGAAUAGCUCUGGGAAACUGGGAGUAAUACCGGAUGAGCCCUUAGGGGGAAGGAUUUUUUGGCGAAGGAUCGGCCCGCGUUGGAUUAGGUAGUUGGUGGGGUAAUGGCCUACCAAGCCGACGAUCCAUAGCUGGUUUGGGAGAAUGAUCAGCCACACUGGGACUGAGACACGGCCCAGACUCCUACGGAAGGCAGCAGAGGGGAAUCUUAGACAAUGGGGGAAACCCUGAUCUAGCCAUGCCGCGUAAGCGAUGAAGGCCUUAGGGUUGUAAAGCUCUUUCAGCUGGGAAGAUAAUGACGGUACCAGCAGAAGAAGCCCCGGCUAACUCCGUG